CACCCAGACCCCACCACUACUCACUCCUUUCUCUCUCACGCACUUCUCAUCUCUGGUUCACCUCACUCACGAUUCACGAACGCUGAACGCACCAGUCCACCAAUCCACCACAGCACCACCGGCUGGCCGCACAACGCACCACCGCUGCCGGCCACCACCUUGACACCGUCCAUCUCUGCUGUAGGUUAGUUAAUAGUUAGGUUUAGGUAUUGGAAAACCCCAAAAUUGAAAACCCCAAAAUUGAAAACCCAAAAAUUGAAAACCCAUUGAUCUGUAGUUUAUUGCCUUGAUCUGAAGUUGCCGAUCAUUAAUUGUCCACCCCUGUUUCUGAAUUCUGAUGGUUGUUCCUUCCUCUGCUCUUUUUUCCCUUUUGCUGCUUUGUUCCCUUUUUUCUUGCUGUUUUGUUUUGCUUUCCCUUUUGCUGAAUUUAGUUUGUGCAUAAGAAAUUGUACUGAAAUGAGAUUGGGUUUUACAUGAGAGUGACAUAUUCCAUCAAUUUUACUCCUAAUUGGUUUGAGAUUGGUUUGUGAUUAUGUGAAGGGAAGGGAAGGGAAAUGGUUUGAUCUUUAAUUUAGCAAUUGCUGAUGUAGUAACUGGUUUGAUUUAGUAACUGGUUUUAUAUCUGAGAUUGAAAUUGUUUAAUUUAGUAAUUGUUAUGAGAAUUGAGAUUGGAAUGUGAAGGGAAAUGUUUUCAGAUUGCUCAAGUCUGUCAUGAAUGCCAUCAAUGAUAACAAGUUUUUAUAUUUUAAUGGUAGCAGCUGCAGUUUGAUUACUAAAUGUAUAUUGGACUCCUAGUCCUAGCUACAAUUUAUAUUUUAGUAUUUAUGUGUGCCACAUGAUAGUUCCUGACUUCCUGCAAAAGUAGAAAUCAAGACAAAAGCAACUAUUUAUUCUUUUUUCUUAUGGCAGUAAUUGGCAAAUAUGAUUUGUAUUUAACUUCAUGUUUAUUGCUACAGUGCUACCAAGAGUAUGAUCUUAAGGUAUGUGACAACUACUGGAAAUUUAAGUUUCUAUGUUUCUUUUCUCCUUAAUUUGCUUAGCUGUUUCAGAAUUGGAUUUAUUAUGUCCCACAGUAAUAAUAUUGCUGCAGCUAGCCAGCUACACUUUCAUGCUUACAAUUGAAUCACAGAUAUUUCAACCUUUGAGGAUGUCGCGACUCAUGAGUUUAAUCCCUAUAACUUCAUGAGUUUGAAAAUUUUGAACCCCCUGACCCCGGGGUCCUGGAUCCGCCACUGGAUGGUUGAGGCCUAAACGAUGGUCGGUGGUGGUUGUAGUCUGAGGUGUGGAAAUUCUAUGAGAGGUGUGGCUAGACUAAUGUUGAAGAUGGGGGCUUGCGGCGAACCUCACAAAUCCUACAGAAAUGGCCGCUAACCUCAGGUAUUGUGAAAUGCUCCACUCUCUGGCAACUUACAAUCGGUUACAGCCGAUGCUAUGGUGAUUGGUGAUUUUUGCCUCCACCGCAACUGGCGGUAAACAUGCAACUGUGGUUGUUGCUUUAGUCGGUGAUUUUAGCGUCGGCUUAAGUCGACUCUAAUUUGCAAAAAGUCAACUCUUACUUGUGUCAGCUAGGUCGACACUAUGUUGAAACGAGUUUUCUUAGUUUCUGAUGACUUACGCCGAUUUUGCAUUGGCUAAGCCAAAGCUACUGUGUUGAGCGCUACUUUCUGUGUCGAGCGCUAUUGAAGUUUUAGGCACUUAACACCAAGGGAAAAAAGAUACAUGGGUGUGGACUUUGGAAGGCGAUGGCCAUUACUCUGUAAAGUCUGCUUAUGAUCUUAUCUCUGGCUUGGAUACUACAGUUGGUGUAACAGUAUUCAGCAAAUUAUGGAAGGCGUGUGCACCUUCGAAUGCGGUGGCAUUGGGCUGGCGUGUACUCUUAGAUAGAUUACAGACAAAGGAAAAUUUAGCCCGAAGAAAUAUCCCAACUGGCAAUCUUUCCUGCCCUUGGUGUGGUUCAAAAACAAAAUCUACUUCUCAUCUGUUAUUCACGUGUGGUUUUGCGUGGAAGGUAUGGACUUUGCUGCUUCGCUGGCUAAAUUUGGUGCUGGUGCUCCCUGAUGAACCGAGUUAUCAUUUCACCCAAUUCGUGGAAAGCUGUUCUUUGUUGAAAAGAAAGGCAUUAUCAGCUGUGUGGUUGGCUUCAGUGGGGGUGUUAUGGAAUGGAAGAAAUUCAAUCAUCUUUAGGGAGGAGACAGUGGAUAUUUCAGACUUGAGUGAAAGGAUAAAAUUAAAAUCAUGGAAUUGGCUCAGGGCUAGGCAGCAUGAAUUUCAAUACUCUUUUUUUGAGUGGUGUAAUGAUCCUUUGCUUUGUCUACCUUAAUGGAUAGGUUUUAUUAUUGUAGAUAUCUGUGGGUGGUAACUGGUAUUGGAGGCUUGUUUUCCAUUGCAAACUGUGGCCGCUGAAAAUUAUUGUUGGUUGGUGGGAAUACUUGUGCUUUAUAAUUCAGAGUUUGUGGCUUUGGAUUAAAGUAAGAGGCGUUGCUUGUUGAGUCUCUGUCUCUGGUCUGAUAUGGAAAUUGGAGGGUGGCUGUAAUUGCUACUUGAUGAAUCUAAUUUGGUUCUUAAGACAAACUUGAUUUAUCUGGUUGCAUGCUACUCAUGGAGAUUCUCAUGAUGAAGGAUUAAGUAGUCUUUGCUCAUGUUCAUUGAGAAGGAACUUGAAGGAAUUUUCUGCCUCCUUCAUGUUUUUGAAGGCUAUUGUUUAGAAUGCAGGAAUUGUACUGUAUUAGUCCCUAUGAUAUUCUAUAUUGUCCUCCUUGGAGACUUCAUCUUGAUUAUUGAAUUCAUGUACUCUUUUUCCUUCAUCAGGUUUUCCCAAGGGGUUUUUUCUGGUAAGGUUUUAACGAGACAUGUAUUCUCUAAUCUGUCUCUAAGGAGGUGGUGGGUGGUGGUGGGUUUUUUAGUGGUAGGAGGU